rnacentral:lncRNA from 1 species
UACACACACACACACAGAGCCUUUGCACAGAUUCUUACUCAGUGUUAGGCUUCUGUAUUUCGUCCCCUUCAAGGGAUGAGUACUGUACCCAUUGCUUUGCUCAGAAGUGAGGAACUAAGUACUUGGGCAGCACUCAACAAAUAAGUCAAAAUGACAAAUAUUGAAUCCAAUUUGAAACUGUGGGGGGAAAUUUAAGUGGCCCCAAAUGUCUGUGUUCUAUGAGUUACUUCCAUUUGUGAAGGAACUACAAUUCCAGAUUUUUAUGUUCAUGAAAUAAUUCACAUUAUUCUCUUUUAUUUUUAACUUCUGGAUGGGCCAAAGAGAGUUUCACACUGAAGAUUACAGCCAUGGCUUUCACCAAGCUGAAAAACAAGCUUUAACGUGAUGAUCCACACAAGACCAAACCUGAUGAGAAAUGUAGGGUGUUGCUAUGGCAAUUCCAUUCGUUGGAACUUUUCUCUGUUGGCUUCACUCUGACAUUACAUUCUAAAAAGAAUCGUAUGAAAAGGUGUGGUGGCUGUGAAGACAAACGCAAAGCCAAGAAGAUGGAACUUUCUUAUCUGUCUCCAAAGAGAGAAUGUCGUCAUAUCGUAAUGCCACCCUAAUGUAGUCGGAGGGCUGGCUUAGGAGGUGUCAUUCUGAGAUUUCAUUGAAACCCUGGGGUGUAUUUCUUUUUCACUUAAGUGGAAAAUUGGCAAUGCCAGAGUUAUUAGCAAAAUGACAAGGUGAAAGAAGGAUGCUUGGAUGAAACUGAAAGAUGACAAGGCCUUGGCUCCUAAAAGAAUGAAGACCCGUUUUGUUGUUGGAGUGAAAAGUUGGCUUCCACAGUGCUGGUUUCUACUCAUUACUAAAGUUCCCGUGGAAAACAAAAGGAGGAACGGACAGUGAAGUCAUAGCUCUUCUCCAGAAGUCUUCAAAUUCUUGGCUAGAAUGGCCUUCAAAGUAUAUGGGAAAAUGCCCUCCAAUAAUCCAGUGAACAUGAGGUAUUAAAAAAUUGCCUCAUUAUAAAACAACCUAUAAUAUAAAUUAAAUCCAUAUUCGGAUCUCUUAAAAGUCCUUAUGUUUGCUUCUUUUUUUUUUUUUAAAGAUUUUCUUUAUUUAUUUAUUUAUUCAUGAGAGACACAGAGAGAGAUUGAGAGGCACAGGCAGAGGGAGAAGCAGGCUCCAUGCAGGGAGCCUGACAUGGGACUGGAUCCUGGGUCUCCAGGAUCUCACCCUGAGCUGCAGGUGGC